rnacentral:tRNA from 1 species
GCCGAGGUGGUGGAAUUGGAAGACACACUAGCUUUAGGAGCUAGCGGGAGUAAUCCUAUGGGAGUUCGAGUCUCCCCCUCGGCA